rnacentral:tRNA from 1 species
CGAGAGAGAUAUAUACAAGAACUGCUAAUUCUUAUAUCUGAGAAUAGCCCCUCAGCUCACUCA